AUUGAACGCUGGCGGAAUGCUUUACACAUGCAAGUCGAACGGUAGAGGGGGCAACCCCUUGAGAGUGGCGAACGGGUGAGUAAUAUAUCGGAACGUGCCCAGUCGUGGGGAUAACGUAGCGAAAGUUACGCUAAUACCGCAUACGAUCUAAGGAUGAAAGCGGGGGAUCGCAAGACCUCGCGCGAUUGGAGCGGCCGAUAUCAGAUUAGGUAGUUGGUGAGGUAAAGGCUCACCAAGCCAACGAUCUGUAGCUGGUCUGAGAGGACGACCAGCCACACUGGAACUGAGACACGGUCCAGACUCCUACGGGAGGCAGCAGUGGGGAAUUUUGGACAAUGGACGCAAGUCUGAUCCAGCCAUUCCGCGUGCAGGAUGAAGGCCCUCGGGUUGUAAACUGCUUUUGUACGGAACGAAAAGG
rnacentral:rRNA from 1 species